rnacentral:rRNA from 1 species
AUGUUGCAGAAGCAAAAAGAACCUAUAGAGGAGGGCGAAGUACCUUUAACAGAGCAACAGAUUUGCGAGCAGGUGCUUGGUAAGGAAUAUGGUUACAUUAGAGGUCGGGGUCAUGGACCAAAACCAAAUAGAAGGGCCUACUCAAGCGCAUCAAGCUCAACUCGGCAUGUAGUGGAAGAAUUGGCAUCUACAAAGGAGAUUGUUGCUACACAACAAACUCAAAUUGAGGCUCAACAAUCUCAGCUUGAAGCUCAACAGAAGAAGAUCGAUUGGCUACAGAGUGUCGUGUCUAACUUGGUUGGCAUUUCACCUCCUAUGGACGGCACUAGUGCGACAGGGCUUGGUUUCUUAACUGAUAGAUCUGUUUUGCGUCAGGCUACAUAUCUGUUUCUUCUGAUGGUUCUCUGGUCUCAGAUGGAGGGUCAAGGAGGUGAAGCAACUUUGGAGAGGUGUAGAGGACACGUGGGGAGUGAUCGGAGCAGUGCUAAACUAGAUGCCAAAAGAGUAGUUCCUGAUUUGCAAAUUCGGCUUACAAAUACUAGAUGUCAAAUACUAGAAUAG